CGAGUCUUUAAAAUCAAGAAGAAAGACGCUGUUUUAGACUGACUGGCUGGGUGUCAGUGAACACGUGCCUGCGCGCACUCCUUCCGAAGGAGCCGGUCAGGCAGCCCAGGGACAGGAAGACACACGCGGGCUCAGAGCUGGCUCUGCAGCAGGCCCCACAGGACUCGGCAGCUCCUCCCAGGACCCUGGUACUUCACCCCCCCGGGGACCUCCCCUAUGCCUGUGACCCAGAAAGGCCAGCAUGAGCAUUUGGCCCUUUGGCACUCGAGGCUGGGAGCCUGAGUCCUUGCUAAAAUAUAAAAUCCACUUGCCCUCCAGCCCAGCCAACUGUCCGCUGAGGAAUGGACUGCUGGCUGGCAGAAGGCAGGACUGGUCCCCAGAUGGAGACGGAAGUAGGAAACUGGCCCCUCGCCUUUGCUCUUCUGGGAGCCGCCUUGGACCCUGGCCUCCCUCCAGCUGCCCCACCUCCCAUGGCCCCCCUCCAGGCCCCAGCCAGACACGGCGACUCACUGGAAACCCCAUUUGGGUUGUGCCCUCCAUUCCUACUUGUCCUUCACGCCCCAGCUCGAAUGCCUCACCCUCAGCGAUAAGUCUCUGGAUCCUCCCCAGGAGGCCACAUCAGUGUUCCUUGAUGCCGUGGCAGACAUGCUUCUGUGGAUGUUGACACCACACAGAACAGAGGUCGGCACAUCCAUCUUUUCAGCCAGAUGACUACUUCCCGUAAAGCCUGUGGGGCAUGCUAAGCCCAGCCCCUGAGAACCAAAACACUGGAGUUUGAGCCCCAGCCUGGCUGCUUAUGAGGCACGUGACUGUGGGCAGAACACAAACUACCGGGUCCUGGUGUCUUUUCUGAAAAACUGUCAGGGACAACCCUUCCUCCAGGAGCUACAGCUACAAUGAACAGAGAAGGCCACGAGUGCACAGCACAACACCUGUGACAUGGGGUAAUGGGAGUAAGAAUCCAUUCCCACCGCAUCCAGGCCCAGGCCCAGGCCUCUACCCUCAAUCAACAAACACAAAGCAUGAAGAAGGCAGGAAACCUCCCUGCAGCCCAGCCCCCCAUCUGGGGAGCACAGGACACGCUAUGAGACAGAAGAAUCCCCACGGCAGGUGGCAGCAGGACCCCCCCAGACUCCUCACCGCUUCUCCUCUGGCUCCAGCCCCCUCUUGGCUGGCUCCUCCUCCCCGAUCUGCUGCUCUCAAGCUUGGGCCUGGGCCUCCUGUUUCCUCUCUCUGUGGCUCAUCGUGUGACCUCAUCCAGUCUCCAGACCCGAGGCUGCAUCUACAUGCUGAAUACCUCUCAGCCUCUGUGUGCCUCGACUCCACUCAGAAACUUGAGAGAGAGCCAGAGACAGAGCACGAGUGGAGGAGGGGCAGAGCGAGAGGGAGACACAGAAUCUGAAGCAGGCUCCAGGCUCUGAGCUGUCAGCACAGAACCCGACAUGGGACUCGAACUCACGGACCGCGAGAUCAUGACCUGAGCCAAAGUCGGAUGUGUAACUGAGCCAGCCAGGUGCCCCUCACAUACCAUAGAUAUUUAAAAAAUCUAUCUCGUUCAUGGUCGCUCCCCCUCACCCCCAACACACACAGCACCAAAUAAAAAUAAGGACAGAGGUUUUGAUCGGUUUUCGUCUUGGCUCUGUCCCCAACAUCUAGUACAGUGUCUGCACAUCACAGCCACUCAAUGAAUUCUCUUCUGGGAAUGUAAGAAUUGGUACAGGGGAGGGGUUCUGAGUCCUGGAAAGCAGGGCUGAAAGCUGGUUUCCCCCCAACUCCCCAGACCAGACCCAGUGCAGACUCCAUAUGUAAAGACCUGCUGGCUGGGGCUCUAUUCUCUCCUGUGCUCAGAGGGAUCCUCCUCUCCCUAGACCACCCCUCGGCCCAGGACGACAGCACAGACCACUCUGCUGGCGAGAGUACUACAAGGGCUGCCGCUGCUGCCCCCUUGCUUCUGAGAGCCUCCCACCCACCAAGCAGGAGGAAGCGUGAGCAGUGAAAGCUUCCUGAGCACUCUGGCUGCACCGGGCCCUGUGCUGAAGACUCCCAUCCGCUGGCACUUAAUCCUCAUGCCAAAGGGGUGAUGUCAUCAAGCCCAGAGAGCCUGCCAGACAGACAUUCAGCCAAUACACACUGGGGUCAGACAGCCCACCUGGGAUGCUCGGCCAAUACCCAGUGGGCAGGGGUCCGACCCCAGGCAGUCUCACCCAGAGCCCUCCACGAAGCACAGCACUGUCCCCCUGAGAAACCUAAGCUUCUGAGAAGGUAGAAGAACUAGAAGCUCAAGUUGACUCCACAAACAGCUGAGGGAAGUGAAAAGUGGACUCUGACACCCUCUGAGGCGGUCCUCACACUUCCCAUGUAUUCUGUAGUUUUUGUCUGCGAGCUCAUCUUCAGCUGUAAUCCUCCUCCUCUGUAUCUGCGGGGCGUUCCAUUGUUACCUCUGCCUGGGAAGUCCCAGCCCGGCGCUCCCGUGUGUGGUGUAUCUCCCCCUGCCCCCGUUGUAUACCUCACAGUUCUACUCCUGUUGUGUCCUUUCUCCUCCUGGCUCAGCCCAAUCCUAUUGGUCCUUCAACUCCUAGCUCACACGUCGCCCGCUGUGACCCUCCCUGACCUCCUACAGAAGGGCCGACGCUGCCAUUGAAGCUCCCUGUAGAAAUCCCUUCCACCCCCCAACUGUCUCUGAUGGAGAAAGGAAGGCCUCAGAACACACAGACACCUGCUAGUGGGUGGGACCUUAUUUACAGGUCAGACAUCUGGGGCAAGGGGCUAGGGAGCCGGAGAGGCUGGGAGAAGCACUGCAUGCUGUCAGUGCAAGACUCUGCUCCUGACCUUGGGUGGAGAGCCUGGCACCUCAGAGCUGGGAAACCCCCUCCUCACAGGGGAGGGGGAAGGAUCACACUAGGACCAUCAGUGAACAAACCUGCAGGGCUCAGAAUGGGGCACAAGGCAUCCUCCUGUGACCAGGGCAGGUAGGAGGGCACCGCUUAGCACAGCCAGCUCCCUCCUCAUAGAAAAUUGGAUUACAGUCCCAGAAGGCGUUUCCAUAUCGGGCCCAACCAGGUCAGCCAGCCAGGCUAGCUGGCCCAGGGCCAGCAUCGCACGUGGGUGCUUCCUUGGGCCCUUGCACACUUCAGGGGGCCCACCUCCUCCCUGAGGGCCACGGAGGGACCCCCAUGCUGAGCCCCUCCAUUAAAGGUGCUCUGAGCAGCUAA